rnacentral:rRNA from 1 species
UACACACCGCCCGUCACACCAUGGAAGUUGGUUGCACCAGAAGUCGGUCGCUUAACCGCAAGGAGAGGGCCGCCCACGGUGUGGCUAAUGACUGGGGUG